rnacentral:rRNA from 1 species
AUUGAACGCUGGCGGAAUGCUUUACACAUGCAAGUCGAGCGGCAGCGCGGGGCAACCUGGCGGCGAGCGGCGAACGGGUGAGUAAUACAUCGGAACGUGCCCAGACGUGGGGGAUAACUACUCGAAAGAGUGGCUAAUACCGCAUACGAUCUAAGGAUGAAAGCGGGGGAUCGCAAGACCUCGCGCGUUUGGAGCGGCCGAUGGCAGAUUAGGUAGUUGGUGGGGUAAAGGCUUACCAAGCCCGCGAUCUGUAGCUGGUCUGAGAGGAUGAUCAGCCACACUGGGACUGAGGCACGGCCCAGACUCCUACGGGAGGCAGCAGUGGGGAAUUUUGGACAAUGGGCGAAAGCCUGAUCCAGCCAUUCCGCGUGCAGGAUGAAGGCCCUCGGGUUGUAAACUGCUUUUGUACAGAACGAAAAAGCUCUUUCUAAUACAGAGAGUCCAUGACGGUACUGUAAGAAUAAGCACCGGCUAACUACGUG